rnacentral:tRNA from 1 species
CGCGGGGUGGAGCAGCCCGGUAGCUCGUCAGGCUCAUAACCUGAAGGUCGCGGGCUCAAAUCCCGCCCCCGCAA